ACAACAUGUCCAAGGGUGGGGGGAGUAGCCGGCCCCAACGGCCGGGGUAAUACCGCAUGCAGUCACCUGCGGCAUCAAAGGUGACGAAAGCCGGGGCAACCUGGCGCCCAUGGAGUGGCUUGCGGCCUAUCAGCUAGUUGGUGAGGUAACGGCUCACCAAGGCUACGACGGGUAGCUGGUCUGAGAGGAUGACCAGCCACAUUGGGACUGAGACACGGCCCAG
rnacentral:rRNA from 1 species